UACGUAGGGCGCAAGCGUUAUCCGGAAUUAUUGGGCGUAAAGAGCUCGUAGGCGGCCUGUCGCGUCGGGAUGUGAAAGCCCCGGGGCUUAACCCCGGGUCUGCAUUCGAUACGGGCAGGCUAGAGUGUGGUAGGGGAGAUCGAAUUCCUGGUGUAGCGGUGAAAUGCGCAGAUAUCAGGAGGAACACCGGUGGCGAAGGCGGAUCUCUGGGCCAUUACUGACGCUGAGGAGCGAAAGCGUGGGGAGCGAACAGG
rnacentral:rRNA from 1 species